rnacentral:rRNA from 1 species
UACAGAGGGUGCGAGCGUUGUCCGGAAUCACUGGGCGUAAAGGGCGCGUAGGCGGCCUGAUAAGUAGGGGGUGAAAUCCUGUGGCUUAACUGCAGGGCUGCCUCCUAGACUGUUAGGCUCGAGCACGGUAGAGGCAGAUGGAAUUCCCGGUGUAGCGGUGGAAUGCGUAGAGAUCGGGAAGAACAUCGGUGGCGAAGGCGGUCUGCUGGGCCGUUGCUGACGCUGAGGCGCGACAGCGUGGGGGAGCAAACAGG